GACGAACGCUGGCGGCGUGCUUAACACAUGCAAGUCGAACGGAAAGGCCCUUCGGGGUACUCGAGUGGCGAACGGGUGAGUAACACGUGGGUGAUCUGCCCUGCACUUUGGGAUAAGCCUGGGAAACUGGGUCUAAUACCGAAUAGGACCACGCGCUUCAUGGUGUGUGGUGGAAAGCUUUUGCGGUGGGGGAUGGGCCCGCGGCCUAUCAGCUUGUUGGUGGGGUAAUGGCCUACCAAGGCGACGACGGGUAGCCGGCCUGAGAGGGUGACCGGCCACACUGGGACUGAGAUACGGCCCAGACUCCUACGGGAGGCAGCAGUGGGGAAUAUUGCACAAUGGGCGCAAGCCUGAUGCAGCGACGCCGCGUGAGGGAUGACGGCCUUCGGGUUGUAAACCUCUUUCACCAGGGACGAAGCGUAAGUGACGGUACCUGGAGAAGAAGCACCGGCCAACUACGUG
rnacentral:rRNA from 1 species